ensembl:snoRNA
UUGCACAGCGAACACCCAAGUGUGCUUUAUAGUUCCCUUGGCUUUGAUGCUGUGCUAGAGCAAUGUCUGUUCUUCUCCUCUGCAUUGAAAGGUGUAUGUUGUUCUUUCAAAUGUAUUCAGAAAGUCAGCACAUCA